CAAGAACACAAGAAUCUGUAUACAGAUGCCAAAAUUGGUGAUAUAUGGAAAGUAGAAACAGUGCCCAACCAAGUAAAUCUUUAGCAAUCCACCAUUUAUUAUAUCAAGAUUAUCAUCGCAUUCCGCCGCCCUCGUAAGCCUAAUCCCAACCACCGCUACCCUGCAAUCCCAAAAAAACAUAACAGAAAACAACCCAAGCCUCCAACUUUCCUCUUUAUUGCAUUUCUUCCCCCUUCACUUUCCCUUUCUCUCCUCUCUUUCCAUCUACUUUCUGUUUCUUCUUUCCUCCAAUCCACAUGCCAUAGCUCUGCCUCUCCCAAAAAAUGCCUUCUCUCCCCAAGUCCCCUCCUUCUCCUCCGUCACUUCUCCACCACGACAACUCUGAUGCCGAGCGCCGCCUCCGCGAGGCGGAGGAGCGCCUGCGUGAGGCAAUUGAAGAGCUCCAGCGUCGACAGCGUAGAGCUUCGCUUGGUGGUCCUUAUCCCCCUUGUGAUCACGCGCCUGAUGAAUCUUGUGUGGCUCACGCUAUUGGCAAUCUUUGCCAGAGUUUCCUUCUCUCCUACGGUGUCAGGGUAGGUGUUGGUAUCUUGCUUCGGGCCUUCAAGCUUGCUAAGGGACAGUCUUACUCUUCCCUCCUCGAUCUCAAGCAACUUGUAUCGGAGAAAGAUUUAAUAGUGAGAGAAGAAGCAUGUCGUGUUGGUUUACUAUUUGGGGGAUUUACGGGGUCUUAUCAUGCACUUAGAUGCUUAUUGAGAAAAUUGAGAAGGAAAGAGACGCCAUUUAAUGCAAUUUUAGCGGGUUCGGUUGCAGGGUUGUCUGUUUUAGCAUUAGAUGAUUCCAACCGGAGGCGUACUCUUGCUCUUUAUCUCUUGGCUAGGGUAGCUCAGUGUGCAUAUAAUUCUGCGAAGUCUAAGAACAGGUUUCACCUUUGGGGAAGCCAUUGGAGGCAUGGAGAUUCUUUGCUCUUUGCUUUUGCAUGUGCCCAGGUUAUGUAUGCCUUUGUAAUGCGCCCUGAGAGCUUGCCAAAAGCAUAUCGCGACUUUAUUCAGAAGACUGGGCCAGUUGCACUGCCUGUGUACAAGGCUGUGAGAGAUAGCUGCAGAGCUGGCCCAGUGGAUGUUGCCUCACUAUCAGCUUACUUAUCUAGCAGAGGGAAACUCAGUUCUGUGAAGUUGGAAGAGUUCCCUUCGAUUAUUCCUUGUUCUGUUAUUCAUCCAGACACAUAUUCAUGUUUAAAUCAUAAUGCUAAAGCAGCAUCAGCCACAUUUAGAAAAACUUUUCCGCUUUACUUCUCAUUGACGUUUGUACCAUAUGUUGUUCUACACCUUCAGAAGUUCAUGGAUGCACCUGCUCGUACAUGUUGGCUUGCUGUUAGAGAUUCUGUUCGCUCAACAACAUUCUUAUCUGCAUUUGUUGGAAUUUUUCAGGGGGUGAUAUGUCUGCAUAGAAAAGUUGCAACAAUAGACCACAAAUUUGUCUAUUGGAUCGCAGGAGGAUUGUCUGCCCUUUCUGUACUACUGGAGAAAAAAUCUAGACGUGCUGAACUUGCCUUAUAUGUUCUGCCACGAGCUGGAGAUUCAUUGUGGUAUAUUUUAGUUAACCGCCACCUGCUUCCAGAUAUUAAGAAUGCAGAGGUAGCUUUAUUUUGCGCUUGCAUGGGAGGAAUAAUGUACUACUUGGAACAUGAGCCAGGCACUAUGGCUCCAUUCCUCAGGGGUCUAAUCCGUCGCUUCCUUGCCAGCAGAAUAAGCAAUCCAAGCUCUCCAUCUAAUCGGAAUGCUUCGUACACAUAUUUGCAGACUCUUGAUGCUAUGACGUCACCAAAAUUGCAGGAGAGCAGAGAGGCUGAAGCUUCAUCGUCUCAGAAAUACAAUCUUGAAUCCAUUCCAGGGCUGUAAGUGUAUUUUGGUGGCUCAAGUAUGAUUGCCUCCUGA
rnacentral:misc_RNA from 1 species